rnacentral:rRNA from 1 species
GACGUAGGAGGCGAGCGCUAUCCGGAUUCACUGGGUGUAAAGCGCGUGCAGGUGGUUCCGUAAGUUGGACGUGAAAUCUCCUGGCUCAACUGGGAGGGGCCGUUCAAUACUGCGGGGCUAGAGGGCAGGAGAGGGAGGUGGAAUUCCCGGUGUAGUGGUGAAAUGCGUAGAUAUCGGGAGGAACACCAGUGGCGAAAGCGGCCUCCUGGCCUGCUCCUGACACUAAGACGCGAAAGCUAGGGGAGCGAACGGG